CCCCAAGUAAAUCCGCAAGAACAAAUUUUCUCAAUUUUCAUGUACAUCCCAAUGAAAAUUCUCAAGUAAUAAUUCACACGUAAAUUACUAAAAAUAUUUUACAAUUAGUCAAAAAUCUAUUCAAAACCUCUAAUAAUUCUCAAAAAUAUCAUUAAGUCUAAUGUAAACCAUUACAGCUAACAAAAAAAUAUAAUUCGUAACAUCCACAUCAAUAAUGUAUGAUUCUUAAUGGCCCAAAAUAAAAUAUUUCGAACUUGAAUCCUUAAUAAAACUAUCAACCAUGAGGGUCAAUCACUUUCAUUCACGUCGUUAGAGUCAUCAUCACAUUCAUCCUCAUAAGCUUGGUUGUCUUCUUGAGAUGGGCGUUCAUCAUUUGAAGAUGAUUUCUUGUAUACAUGCUUCAUCAACAAAUCCAAUUCCUUUCUCAUCCUCCUUCCACAAUUGAUGCACUAUGAGCAACUAAUAUUUCAUGUUUCUUUCUUUCAAACUCAUUCUGCAUAAGAAUAUGUUAAUUCAAGCCAUAAAAAGUGCUAAAAAUACAUUAUUAGCAUAAAUUAUAUGACAUUAUAGUAUCAAAUAAAAUCAUAACAAUCGACAAAUAUAAAUAUAUAUAUAUUAGCAUAUAAAGCAUCAAACUCAAAGUUGAUAUUUUCAAAUUAUUGUGACUAUCGUUAUGACUUGUUAUAUUAAGAUAACGUAGGAUGAAAUUAGAAGAAUAAGAGAACAAGAGGAAGGAUUCAAGUGGUGCCACGUAUCUAACACUUAAUGUGAAGAAAACUCUUUUCUUAUUUCUUAAAGCUCCGUACCCGGUCAAAUGGAUUAUACAAGGUACACUACAAUGGAUUAUACAUUGUCAAGGUACACUGCAAUGAAAAUUUUUUCAUAUAACCAAACAUAUUUAUUUUGUAACUAUACUUUAUUAUUUUCAAGUUAUUAGUACACAUUUCAAGUGACUAUUACUUAACCAUUUUUAAGUCAUAAGUUCACAAUUUCAUGUAACUACACUUAACCAUUUUCAAGUCACGAGUUCGCAAAUUCAAGUAACUACACUUAAUCAUUUUCAAGUCACUACACUUAAUAAUUUUCAAAUAACUUAUUCACAAUUCAAAUCACCAUUACACAUUUCAAGUCACUACACUCGAACCAUUUUCGAAUAGCUAAUUGACAUUUCAAGUCACCAUACUUAACCAUUUUCAAGAAACUACACUUCACCAUUUUCAAGUCACUAGUACACAUUUCAAGUCACUACACUUGACCAUUUUCAAGUAACUAAUUCACAUUUCAAGUCACUAUACUUAACCAUUUUCAAGUCACUAGUACACGUUUCAAAUCACUACACUUAAUCAUUUUCAAAUAAUUAAUUCACAUUUCAAGUCACUAUACUUAACCAUUUUUAAGUAACUACUUUACAUUUCAAAUAACUAUACUCAACCAUUUUCAAGUCACUAUACUUAAUCAAUUUCAAGUAACUAAUUCACAUUUCAAGCAACUACACUUUAACCAUUUAAGUCACUAGUAUGCAUUUCAAGUCAUUAUACUUAACCAUAUUUUCAAGUAACUACACUUAACUAUUUUCAAGUCACUACAAUUAAUCAUUCAUUUCAAGUCACUAUACUUAACCACUUUCAAGUAACUAAUUCACAUUUCAAGUAAUUACACUUAACCAUUUUCAAGUCACUAGUACACAUUUCAAGUCACUAUACUUAACCAUAUUUUCAAGUAACUACACUUAACUAUUUUGAAGUCACUAGUACACAUUUCAAGACAUUACACUUAACCAUUUUAAAGUCACUAGUAUACAUUUCAAGACACUACAUUUAAUUAUUUUCAAGUCACAAGUUUACAAUUUCAAGUCACUAAUUCACUUCUCAAGUGACCACACUUUACUAAAUUCAAAACACAAGUUAACCUUUCAAGUACCUAAACUUAAACGUUUUCAAGUGACCACACUUUAGCAAAUUCAAAACACAAGUUCACCUUUCAAGUAACUAAACUUAAAACAUUUUCGAGUUACUAAAUCACUUCUCAAGUGACCACACUUUAGUAAAUUCAAAACACAAGUUCACAUUUCAAUUACCUACAUUUAAAUAUUUUCAAGUCACUAUUUCACUACUCAAGUGACCACACUUUAGUAAAUUUAAAACAUAAGUUCACCUUUCAAGUACCUAAACUUAAUUAUUUUAGAGUUACUAAAUCACUUCUCAAGUGACCACACUUUAGUAAAUUUAAAACAUAAGUUCACCUUUCAAGUACCUAAACUUAAUUAUUUUCGAGUUACUAAAUCACUUCUCAAGUGACCACACUUUACUAAAUUCAAAACACAAGUUCACAUUUCAAGUACCUAAACUUAAAACAUUUUCGAGUUACUAAAUCACUUCUCAAGUGACCACACUUUAGUAAAUUCGAAACACAAGUUUACAUUUCAAGUACCUACAUUUGAAUAUUUUGAAGUCAAUAAUUCACUUCUCAAGUGACCACACUUUACUAAAUUCAAAACACAAGUUAACCUUUCAAGUACCUAAACUUAAACGUUUUCAAGUCACUAUUUCACUUCUCAAGGAGUUACUAAAUCACUUCUCAAGUGACCACACUUUAGUAAAUUCGAAAUACAAGUUUACAUUUCAAUUACCUACACUUGAACAUUUUGAAGUCAAUAAUUCACUUCUCAAGUGACCACACUUUAGUAAAUUCAAAACACAAGUUCACCUUUUAAGUAUCUAAACUUAAUUAUUUUCGAGUUACUAAAUCACUCCUCAAGUUACCACACUUUUGCAAAUUCAAAACACAAGUUCACAUUUCAAGUACCUAAACUUAAACAUUUUCAAGUCACUAUUUCACUUUCGAAACACAAAUUUACAUUUCAAGUACCUACACUUGAACAUUUUGAAGUCAAUAAUUCACUUUCAAGUGACCAAACAUUACUAAAUCCAAAACACAAGUUCAUAUAUCAAGUAUGUACACCUAAACAUUUCAAGUCACUAAUUCACUUCACAAGUGACCAAACUUAACUAAAUAUAGCCUUAACAUUAAAAAAUACAACAACAACAACAUGCCCAGUAUAUUCUCACCAAGUGGGGUCUGAGAAGGGCAAGUAUACGCAGUUCUAUAUCACUACCUUAGAUGUGAGAUAGAGAGACUGUUUCCGAUAGAGCCCGGCUCACAAUAAAAUAAUAACCUCAGCAGCAGACCAUAUUAUAAACCUGAGAACCAAAUAGCUUACCAAAACACUGAAAUAUUGAAGUCUUUAUUUAGAAAUAUUGAAGUGUUCAUUUAGAAUAUAGGAUGUUUGCUAAUGGACUUAUAAUGCCAAAACACAUGCAAGCUACUGUUAACCUAUUAUGAGAGAAAUAUACAUUAUAUUAAAAAAUAUCAAUAUACACGAGGAAAUAACCUAAAAAGUCAAUCAUUGAUCAUGUGUUACUUUGCAAUCAACAAAAGGAAAAGAAGAAACAAAAUUCUGCCAUUUAUUAAUGAUGUAUAAAUAAAAUCUCAAAAUCAAAAGCACAAAAGAAAAAGAUAAACUUCAGCAUCUUUAAGCAGAC
rnacentral:lncRNA from 1 species